CAGGCUUAGCACAUGCAAGUCGAGGGGCAUCACGUAGAAAGCUUGCUUUCUUUGCUGGCGACCGGCGCACGGGUGAGUAACACGUAUCCAACCUGCCCUUUACUCGGGGAUAGCCUUUCGAAAGAAAGAUUAAUACCCGAUAGCAUAAUGAUUCCGCAUGGUUUCAUUAUUAAAGGAUUCCGGUAAAGGAUGGGGAUGCGUUCCAUUAGGUUGUUGGUGAGGUAACGGCCCACCAAGCCUUCGAUGGAUAGGGGUUCUGAGAGGAAGGUCCCCCACAUUGGAACUGAGACACGGUCCAAACUCCUACGGGAGGCAGCAGUGAGGAAUAUUGGUCAAUGGGCGCUAGCCUGAACCAGCCAAGUAGCGUGAAGGAUGAAGGCUCUAUGGGUCGUAAACUUCUUUUAUAUAAGAAUAAAGUGCAGUAUGUAUACUGUUUUGUAUGUAUUAUAUGAAUAAGGAUCGGCUAACUCCGUGCCAGCAGCCGCGGUAAUACGGAGGAUCCGAGCGUUAUCCGGAUUUAUUGGGUUUAAAGGGAGCGUAGGUGGACUGGUAAGUCAGUUGUGAAAGUUUGCGGCUCAACCGUAAAAUUGCAGUUGAUACUGUCAGUCUUGAGUACAGUAGAGGUGGGCGGAAUUCGUGGUGUAGCGGUGAAAUGCUUAGAUAUCACGAAGAACUCCGAUUGCGAAGGCAGCUCACUGGACUGCAACUGACACUGAUGCUCGAAAGUGUGGGUAUCAAACAGGAUUAGAUACCCUGGUAGUCCACACAGUAAACGAUGAAUACUCGCUGUUUGCGAUAUACAGUAAGCGGCCAAGCGAAAGCAUUAAGUAUUCCACCUGGGGAGUACGCCGGCAACGGUGAAACUCAAAGGAAUUGACGGGGGCCCGCACAAGCGGAGGAACAUGUGGUUUAAUUCGAUGAUACGCGAGGAACCUUACCCGGGCUUAAAUUGCAGUGGAAUGAUGUGGAAACAUGUCAGUGAGCAAUCACCGCUGUGAAGGUGCUGCAUGGUUGUCGUCAGCUCGUGCCGUGAGGUGUCGGCUUAAGUGCCAUAACGAGCGCAACCCUUAUCUUUAGUUACUAACAGGUUAUGCUGAGGACUCUAGAGAGACUGCCGUCGUAAGAUGUGAGGAAGGUGGGGAUGACGUCAAAUCAGCACGGCCCUUACGUCCGGGGCUACACACGUGUUACAAUGGGGGGUACAGAAGGCAGCUAGCGGGUGACCGUAUGCUAAUCCCAAAAUCCUCUCUCAGUUCGGAUCGAAGUCUGCAACCCGACUUCGUGAAGCUGGAUUCGCUAGUAAUCGCGCAUCAGCCACGGCGCGGUGAAUACGUUCCCGGGCCUUGUACACACCGCCCGUCAAGCCAUGGGAGCCGGGGGUACCUGAAGUACGUAACCGCAAGGAUCGUCCUAGGGUAAAACUGGUGA
rnacentral:rRNA from 1 species